rnacentral:lncRNA from 1 species
GCUGGAGAGGGUCACAUGGACGUCCUCAGCGGGAGGACCCUGAGUGUGCCUCGGCCCUGCCUCGCCCAGACCUGGCCCUGCAUGUCCUCCUGGGUGGGAACAGGAGACAGGUGGGAACUUCCAGUGCUCCCCUGGCUGUAACUCAGCCUCUGUCCCGCUCAGCCUGGAUGCUGGAGGUCACUUGGCCGCCUUCGGGAGCAUCUGCCCGGGAUGACAAGGAGGAAACCAAGCGCGGUGAGCAGGAUUCAGAGGAAACAAACCUCUGGGAAGCGUGGAUACCUCCUGUCUAUAGCUGAUGUUCAGAUGCAGAUCCUAGGCCCAGACUGCUUUUCUCUCAGCAACGACAAGUGGGUGCAAGGCCAGGAAAUCGCGCGGGGGUGGGGCAGCGUGGCUUCAAGGGAGAGGAAGAGGACGAAUAUCACGCGCUCAGAGUCAUCCCUGGAUCUCCCAGGCAAGUCCCCGCCCUCUGCCCGCCAGGAGUGGGCAGGAGGGGAACGCCCACCUCGGGAGCCCACCGCGCCCGCAGACCGGGGAUCUGGGCGUGGAGUUGGGAGCACCCCGAGGUGACUCCGCGCAGCCCCUCCCCGAGUUCACAGGGCUCUGAAUGUUGAGGGCCGAGCCACUGCCCGGACCGUGUUCUUCUCUCAGCCCGCCCUGCUCUGGGCUUGGGGCUGGGCUGCCUCAGCUUUACAUCUCGCAGGGAGCCUGGGGCCUUGGCGCCUGUCCCGGAAGUCUCUGCGUUGCCUCCUUGUCUCCAUCGGCCCUGCUGCUCUUGACCAAGCCUCGCGUCCCUCACGUGACCCCUUCUAGCAGCCCUGGGACCACAGCCUCCCUGUCAGGACCCCAUGCAUCCUGGCUGUUCCCCACUCACAUCCCAAAGGCGAGGCCUCUGGGAGCCCACGGUCUCUAGGCCUUCCCUGCCCCGUCCUGCAGCCUGACUGUCCCUGGCCUGCACCGCCACACUGGCAUCUCUCCCUCCUCUCUGCCUGCCUCCCCCUUCCCCAGUGCCUCGCCACCCCCCUGGCCUCCUCCCGCCUCCCCUAAACG